UACGGAAGGCAGCAGUGGGGAAUAUUGCACAAUGGGCGAAAGCCUGAUGCAGCUAUGCCGCGUGUAUGAAGAAGGCCUUAGGGUUGUAAAGUACUUUCAUCGGGGAGGAAAAAACAAAACUAAUAAUUUUAUUUCUUGACGUUACCCGAAAAAGAAGCACCGGCUAACUCCGUGCCAGCAGCCGCGGUAAUACGGAGGGUGCUAGCGUUAAUCAGAAUUACUGGGCGUAAAGAGCACGUAGGUGGUUUUUUUAAGUCAGAUGUGAAAUCCCUGGGCUUUAACCUGGAACUGCAUUUUGAAACUGAAAUACUAGAGUAUCGUAGAGGGAGGUAGAAUUCUAGGUGUAGCGGUGAAAUGCGUAGAUAUCUGGAGGAAUACCUGUGGCGAAAGCGGCCUCCUAAACGAAUACUGACACUGAGGGUGCGAAAGCGUGGGGAGCAAACAGGGAUUAGAUACC
rnacentral:rRNA from 1 species